rnacentral:rRNA from 1 species
AACGCGAAGAACCUUACCUAGGCUUGACAUGUGGAGAAAUCCGGUAGAGAUGCCGGGUCCUUCGGGGCUCCUCACAGGUGGUGCAUGGCUGUCGUCAGCUCGUGUCGUGAGAUGUUGGGUUAAGUCCCGCAACGAGCGCAACCCUCGUUCUAUGUUGCCAGCGGGUAGUGCCGGGGAUUCAUAGGAGACUGCCGGGGUCAACUCGGAGGAAGGUGGGGACGACGUCAAGCCAUCAUGCCCCUUAUGUCUAGGGCUGCACGCAUGCUACAAUGGCCGGUACAGAGGGCUGCGAUACCGCGAGGUGGAGCGAAUCCCACAAAGCCGGCCUCAGUUCGGAUUGGGGUCUGCAACUCGACCCCAUGAAGUCGGAGUCGCUAGUAAUCGCAGAUCAGCAACGCUGCGGUGAAUACGUUCCCGGGUCUUGUACACACCG